AUGAUUCUUGAAGAGAUGGGAAAGAAAGGCUCUGAAGCAGUGAAGGACACCGCCUGCAUCAUUGAGAACGGCUACAGCGUGGGCCCGGGCCAGGUGCGCAUCAGGCAUGAACAAGGAACCCUUCCAGACUGGGAUGGUUACCGUAACUUUGAGCCCCACACCCAGGACUGGGGGAAAAAUGCUGCCUACCCAUCUCUCUUCUUGUGUGGAGCAGCGCUUCAGGAUACGGGGCUGAGAUCAAACACUACUUGCCGCCAUCUACUCAUGCUGAGAGAAGCGAGGGAAGGACCUGCUAAACCGUUCUUCGCAACGCCAUCUAAAAUACAGCUCUCACUUUAUUUGCUUUGGUUCCGGAGGGAAAAUCGGCUAAGGAUGCCUUUUGUUAGGCUAUGCAGGCUUCUGCCGUUUAGCGAGACCAGUCCAGCUGCUCGGCACGUGGACCCGGAGCCAGAUCAGGGUUCACCAUUUCACUGAGAUUUAUUUUGAGGGAGGGAGCCAUGCGGCACAGCUGCAUGGGGCAGCGUCAUGUACACUGUCAGUAGGCUACUAUUCAUUAUUGUGAAUGGUCACUUCACGUCUUACGAUUGGACUCCUUGGCAACUGGUUCAUUUUUUUCCUAAUCAAAUGAAAAGAUGCAACGUACAUCUGAAGAUCUGCUUGCUUGAGGACCAGCUAACCAACCAUCGUUUUCAAGAGCUGAGAGCAGAAGCAACCGAGGGGCUAGGGAGAACAAUAACAUAAUUUUACCUGCCUAUUUUUAGUCUGAAGCUAGUCGGGUCGGUGAUCAAUAUCAACAGUCACAUUACUUAACAGGAUACAAAAGGACAGUCACAACACCAUCCCCUGCCACAUGCCCUGCCUGUUGUUUUAUAGACACUUUGUGCCCUGCUGGCAGCCUGUGCCAGCUGCCGACCGACUAAAACAGCGCUCCGACAGUUUUCCUGCCUAAUCCGUAAGCGGUGCAGAGUCGCUUCAUUCUCGGCAGCACCACCACUGUAGCCGGGGACGAGUGAGGACGGCUGCAGCUUCUCCGUCAUCCGCUGCUGCCGAGAAGGUGCCUUGGGAACCUAGGCAGUCUCUUAGAAAAAGGAGCAGUUCUCAGGAUGCUCUGAUUCACAAGGGAGUGGGCUGGCACGUCAAGCGAGAAAUGGGAAAUAAGGGAGGUUUUCCUCAAAAGCUGGUACAAAGAAUUUUGAUGAUAGUGCCCAGAUGAAAGCACAUAAAUAAUUUAAAUACGAUAAAUGUCAUAACAACAGAAAGCAUUGUUGUAAGACCAGAUCAUCUUACUAAUUUGUUGUGGAAUCCCCAAGGGUAAGCAGGCAUUUCAGUUCUCUGCUUUCUGUUUUGUUUGAAUGAUAUCGACCUGAAAAUCUAGGCUGUGGUGCUCAAAAUACAGACUUGACGGAAGAACAUCAAUCUGUGUGUAUACAAAUAAGAAAUGGAUUUGCCAAUGCGAUUUAUUAUCUUUGGUAUAAUUAUUUAAUUUUCAACAAAACCUUUCAACAAAACAAGCGUGUUUUGCUGUUUAAUGUGUGUGUGUGUGUGUGUGUGUGUGUGUGUGUCUAUAUACACAUAUAUUUCAAAACUGCUGAGUCUACGUAAGGGAAAUAAAUUAUGAGGUAACAAAAUUCA
rnacentral:lncRNA from 1 species